rnacentral:rRNA from 1 species
UACGUAGGGUGCGAGCGUUGUCCGGAAUUAUUGGGCGUAAAGGGCUCGUAGGCGGGUUGUCGCGUCGGGAGUGAAAACACCGGGCUUAACUCGGUGCUUGCUUUCGAUACGGGCAGACUAGAGGCAUGCAGGGGAGAACGGAAUUCCUGGUGUAGCGGUGAAAUGCGCAGAUAUCAGGAGGAACACCGGUGGCGAAGGCGGUUCUCUGGGCAUGUCCUGACGCUGAGGAGCGAAAGUGUGGGGAGCGAACAGG